rnacentral:rRNA from 1 species
GUAGGGGGCCAGCGUUGCUCGGAAUAACUGGGCAUAAAGGGUUCGUAGGCGGUGUGGCAAGUCGGGAGUGAAAUCCUGAGGCUUAACUUCAGGACUGCUUCCGAAACUGCCAUGCUCGAGUGCGGGAGAGGCGAGUGGAAUUGCGGGUGUAGCGGUGAAAUGCGUAGAUAUCUGCAGGAACACCAGUGGCGAAAGCGGCUCGCUGGACCGCAACUGACGCUGAGGAACGAAAGCUAGGGGAGCAAACAGGAUUAGAUACCCUGGUAGUCCUAGCCCUAAACGAUCAGAACUUGGGGUGGGCCCCUUUCGGGGUUCGUCCCGGAGCUAACGCGUUAAGUUCUGCGCCUGGGGAGUACGGUCGCAAGGCUG